rnacentral:rRNA from 2 species
UUUCAGCAACGGAUCUCUUGGCUCUCGCAUCGAUGAAGAACGCAGCGAAAUGCGAUAAGUAAUGUGAAUUGCAGAAUUCAGUGAAUCAUCGAAUCUUUGAACGCACCUUGCGCUCCUUGGUAUUCCGAGGAGCAUGCCUGUUUGAGUGUCAUUAAAUUC